GCAGAGAAGAGAAGGGCAAGGAAUGGUAGAAACAGUCAGAAAUGAGAAGAGAGGAACCAGAGGGUAAGGACAGGCUAAAAGUAAGAAAGAGGGGAGUCAAAAAGGGCACAGAGAGGAAAGGUCCAAGCAGGACCGAAAGUCGAGGAGAGCCCGAGAGCGUCAGCGUUUGGAGAAGGAGCUGGAGAAGGAGCGCCCCAACUCGCCUCCCCGGACGGAGCUGGAGCCCCGGCGGCAGAAGCCAGGGAAGGGCGCCCGAGGCUGCGCCCGGCGGGCGGAGGUGGAGCGGGUGGGCCGAGCUCCCCGCGGGCCGCAGCUUCAGCGCGCGGCCGCCAGAGGGCGACCGGGCCAAGGCCCGAAGGGCCAACUUUAAUCCGGCUGCGCGUUGGAUGCGGACUGGCCCGGCAGCGACAAAUGUGGGGAGAAGGACCAGACAGGUCCUGGAGGAGUGAACAGCGAGAGAGGAGAAAGGCAGGCGUGGACAAGCGCUGGAAGGCAGCACUCAAAAGAAACCCAGGGAAGCUGGUAUUUACAACUUUUUAUCAAGUCCCUGUUCCCAACGCCGGCAUGCGGUUUAGUAGGUGUUCUGCAGACACUAGGUGCAUUGAAACAAAACAACAAAAUAAUCUUCCUCAGAAUUCCUUGAGACUUACCAUUUAAAUAAUCUAUUUCUUUGGACCACACAGGAUCCUGGUGAGGGGUCCUGGAAGGGCAAGGAUUCAUAUCCCAGUUCCUUAGACCAUAAGAAUUGAAAGAGCCCUUAAAACCAGCUUCCUUCUGUUCUGGAGAGGCAAGUGAAACUUACAGAAGACCAAGAGGCAAGAUCCAAGCUUCUGGACCGUUUCCCGCCAAUGGGGAAACUGAGUCAUGGGCACCACCGCUUACUUGUGUUGCGAAGAGUUCACUGACUCUUCCUAUACUGAUGUUAGAGACUGAAGGAUGAACGAGGUAGGAUUGCAGCAGACGGAGCAACUGGAGAAUGGCCACUGGAGAAGCUGGGCAAGGAUGACCAGCUGGGCUGCAGGGGCUGAAAGGCUUCCAGAGCCUGCAACCUGGGUCUUUGAGGGGAACACGGAAGGAAAGGAGAGGAUACCAGAGACUUUCAGGCUGACCCUGAGAUUGCCAUUUCUGCAGGUCAGAAAUAAUGACUGUGCGCAGUUUCAUCUGGUUCCACCUGCUGGGUGUCCGCGCCACCUCGACUCUUUGCUAUGCACACUUCUGGUGACAGAUGCAGAUCAGGCCAGUGGGCCCAGAUGGUGCAAGAGGACAGUGCGGCUCCGUGCUUCCAACACACAGCGCUCUGAGAACUGCAGCUGUGACCAAAGAGAAGUCCUUUAAAGAGCCUCCACUCCUCAAGGCUCCAAAACUCCCUACAGAGCCACCACUCCCCAUGAUGAGGACGAGGUGAAAAGCUUGGGAGGUGGGAGGAGAAUUUAACUCCACUGAGAGGGAGUGUAAUGGUCUUCAUGGGGAACUAGAACAUAAGGGAGACAGCGGGUAAGAAAGGACCUGAUCAAAUUAAAAACGAAUCCAUAUAAUUAAAGUGAUGGUGCACGUGACUAUGUGUAUGAUUUUUAAAAUGUUCCAGGCCUUUGUUCCUGAAGUUAUAAAUGUUUCAUCGACUAAAUUUCACAAGUGCCAGCUAUGACUUCCUCCUCCAUGGUCCUUUCCUAUGGCUGUGUGACCAGUGUCCAAACAGUUAACCUCUCUGUGCCUCUCUUGCUUCAUCCAGCUUCCUGUCCUCACUAUUUUUCUGAGUCAAUGUGUGCAAUAAUCCUUUAGAAUCUCCACCGGUAUGGUUACUGAUAUUGUUAAUGAGAUGCAAGAACAAACAGGUUUUUCCACUCAUGGGUACAUAAUACCCAAGAGAACCGAAAGCAUCCGUCCACACAAAAACUUGUACACAGAUGUUGAUAGAAGCACUAUUCAGAAUAGCUAAAGGGGACAGCCAACCCAAACGUCCAGCAGCUGAUGAAUGGAUAUAUAAAAUGUGGUAUAUUCAUAUGAUGGAAUACUAUUUGGCCAUGAAAAAUAAUGAAGUGCUGAUACAUGCCACAAUAUGGCUCAAUCUUGAAAAGAUUAUGCUAAAUAAAAGAAGCCAGUUACAAAAGGACAUAUAUAAUAUGAUUCCAUUUAUAGGAAAUGUCAAGAAUAGGCAAACGUAGAGAGGCAGACAGGCGGUCAGUGGUUGCUUAGGGCCAGGAGGCAUGGAGAGAUGGGGGACCGUGGCUAAAGGGGAUUGCAUUUUUUGGGUAAUAAUGAAAAUAUUCUAAAAUUGAUUGUGGUGAU